CAGGAAGCAUAGCUGAUGAACUCAUGGAAGAAAUAAAGAAGGAAGUUGAAGAAUAAUGCUGCUCCAAAGUAUUCAUAUAUGGUUCCAACUUUGUAAAAAUGGGGCAUGCUUGUUUUAUGUUAUACAAGAGAAACCUGAGAAUAUGGUAUUAUUUGUUUGUAUA